UCUCCAUACGUUUGGGUAGUUAGGAUUGGAUCUCUCUAUUUGUUAAUGCAAUUGAUAGUUGUUUGUUGCCUGAGGCCCAAGGACGUUCCUUGGCAACUUAUUGAUUAGUAAUUAAUUAGAUGACGUUCCCUAAUUAAUUUAAUAAUAAGGAGAGAUAAUGGUGGUGAGAAGCGUCUUCCAUCUCCAUAACUAAUCUAUUGAAUCAACCCAAAAGAACAAAGUGUCUGUGAUCAAUCCCAACAACUAAAGUGGAUCCAAUACUUCAACUAGAGCUUUCUCAUUAUUAAUUACUUUUUAUUUAAUUAUUUGCUUUCCAUUAUUAUUCUCAUUAUUAGUUUACUACAAUCAAUCUCAAA
rnacentral:lncRNA from 1 species